GAUGAACGCUAGCGGCAGGCUUAAUACAUGCAAGUCGAGGGGCAUCAAGGUACACGAAAGUGUAUUGUUGGCGACCGGCGGACGGGUGAGUAAUAGGUAGGUAACCUACCUCAUACUGAGGCAUAGCUGGGAGAAAUUCCAGGUAAUUCCUCAUGAGGUUAUAUGACACAUGUGAUAUAAUCAAAGGUAUCGCAAGGUACUGGUAUGAGAUGGGCUUACUGACCAUUAGCUAGUUGGUGAGAUAAGAGCUCACCAAGGCGAAGAUGGUUAGGGGUUUUGAGAGAGAGAUCCCCCACAUUGGAACUGAGAUACGGUCCAGACUCCUACGGGAGCAGCAGUAGGGAAUAUUGGGCAAUGGCGGAAGCCUGACCCAGCCAUGCCGCGUGAAGGAAGACGGCCUUAUGGGUUGUAAACUUCUUUACUAUGCGACUAACUAGAUUUACGAGAUAAUUCUAUAGAAUGUAGCAUAGCAAAAGCAACCGG
rnacentral:rRNA from 1 species